UACGUAGGGGGCAAGCGUUGUCCGGAAUCAUUGGGCGUAAAGAGCGUGUAGGCGGUUCGGUAAGUCUGCCGUGAAAACCUGGGGCUCAACCCCGGGCGUGCGGUGGAUACUGCCGGGCUAGAGGGUGGUAGAGGCGAGUGGAAUUCCCGGUGUAGCGGUGAAAUGCGCAGAUAUCGGGAGGAACACCAGUAGCGAAGGCGGCUCGCUGGGCCAUUCCUGACGCUGAGACGCGAAAGCUAGGGGAGCGAACAGG
rnacentral:rRNA from 1 species